UACGGGGGGGGGCAAGCGUUUGUUCGGAAUUACUGGGCGUAAAGGGCGCGUAGGCGGCCUUCUAAGUCAGACGUGAAAUCCCUCGGCUCAACCGAGGAACUGCGUCUGAUACGUGGAAGGCUUGAAUCCGGGAGAGGGAUGGUGGAAUUCCAGGUGUGAUGCGGUGAAAUGACGCAGAUAUCAGGAGGAACACCGGUGGCGAAAGGCGGCCACUCGUGGGCCGAAACUGACGCUGAGGAGCGAAAGCGUGGGUAGCAAACAGG
rnacentral:rRNA from 1 species